UACGGAGGGGGCUAGCGUUGUUCGGAAUUACUGGGCGUAAAGCGCACGUAGGCGGCUUUGCAAGUCAGAGGUGAAAGCCCGGGGCUCAACCCCGGAAUUGCCUUUGAGACUGCAUCGCUAGAAUCCAGGAGAGGUGAGUGGAAUUCCGAGUGUAGAGGUGAAAUUCGUAGAUAUUCGGAAGAACACCAGUGGCGAAGGCGACUUACUGGACACAUAUUGACGCUGAGGUGCGAAAGCGUGGGGAGCAAACAGG
rnacentral:rRNA from 1 species